AGCGCCGGGGGAAACCAAAGGAGAGCGCGGGCGAUGGAGCGGAAGUUCAGCCUGGAGCAGCGAACAGAGCGCCUGAUGCAAAGGAGGUGGGAAAGCAGCCCGGCCUCAAGUGCCCCUCGGGAUCCCCAAGCGCCCCUAGGAGGCCCCAGUCUGCUCCCCCGUUCCCUCAGCGUUGUCCUGGGCUCAGAGUGCUCCCCAGACCCCCAAAUGCCGCCCCAGACCUCUAAGCGCCUGCCAAAUCCCUCCUUUGCCCCGGUGAGACCCAGGCACGCCUCGGGGACCCUCAGCUACCCCACCCGAUCCCAGGUGAUGCCCCAGACACACCAUUGUGCCCAUAAGUGCGUCCCGCAGCCCCUCAAACUCCGCCCGAGACCACCAGUGCCACGGGCUCAGUACAGGGUCAGCAUUUCGGGGGUCCUCGCCCCUCCCCAACCUUCUCCUCCCCCCACCAGCCAGGCCCUGCUCAGGCCCGGCCCCCGCGGGCCGGAAGGGGCGAAGGCGCUGCUUGGCUCCGCCCUCUGCAGCUCCACCCUCGAUGACCCCCUCGUCCAAUGGCGCUUGGGGCGGUGCCGAGGGAAGGAGCCAGCGCUGGACACGCCCCUGGUGGGCAGGGCCCUGCUGGGCUCUGCUGCUCCCCGGGGUUCCCUGCAAGGAGUGCUGCCGGGGAGGUCACGUGACCCACCUGAGGCGCCGUGGCCAAUCGGGAGACACUUCUGCAAGCACCAGGGGGCGUCUUCACCCCAGGCUGGCUCCCAGGAACCCUUGUGGCAGGAUCCAUGUUGGAGGCCGCCUGACUCCCGCAAGACCCUCCGGCCAAUGAGGAGUAGCUCUCUGGAUCCCCUGCAGGGGGCACUAUACUCACAGUCACGCGACUCCCACCAUGCCCUGUGGCAAAUCAGCAGCAGCUGCUGUGCACCUCUGCACCAGGGGGUGCCGCCUGGGAAGCGAGACUCCCACGAGCCUUUGCUGCAGGAGCCAUUAUGGGGGUCACAUGACUGCCUCGGGGCUCUGUGGUGUGCCCCACAUUGGAAGUCACGCGGCUCCCAGGAUGCCCUGGGGCCUGCAAGGGAGGCGGUUCCUGAGCCCCUGCCCCAGGGAGGGCCCGGCUUCAGGUCACGUGACCCCCGUGAGGCCUCACAGCCAAUCCGAAACAGUGCACGUGAUGCCCCACAGGAGGCGCCGUGGCAGCAGCCACUGGGUCACCAGUAAAGAUGUUAAACAGGACUCGACCUAGCAUUGACUCCUGGAGUCACCGACAAGUAAUUGGGUGCAAUGGACAGAGUGGGAGCUUCAGACAAGCCCUCUCUUAGGCCCACAUCACCAGAGCAGAUCCUAGAGAUAUUGGCCAAGGGCAAUAGAAACCAGCGCAGCAUCACACCAAGACUAACGCCACCUCCUCCCACUCCCAUGCCAUCCUCCAGGGCCUGGGUUCUGACAUUUGGAUUCAAGCUCCGAUAUUUGAAUGUCUAAGGGUUCCUCCCACACAAAAAAUGUAAGGACGGAAAACUGUUGCUGUCUUUUACCUUCACUUUGCAGUCAUCUGAACACCACCAGCAGGAUUAUGUGUUUGCCUUCCCAAGGAAAGGUACUGUCAUUCAUGUUCAGGAGCACAGUUGCAGCCACACUCCAAUACUGAAUACUUCCAGUGGAGCCACACUCCAAUACUGAAUACUUCCAGUGAUUAUCUAACUCAAAAUGAUCCAGGGCAGAAACAUCUUUGUGGCCUUUACCUCCCCUGGGAAGCAGAUCUGCACAAGAACAGUGGGUUAUGUCCUUUUCUCCCCAUGGAAAAUCACUUUAUUCCUCUUCAGGAGUCCACCACCUUACUUUGGAGACAACUUUCCAAUAUUAAAUAUAUCCAAGAAUUGCUCCCUCGCAAUAUGUGUCAGGUCAUAAAAUUGUUGCUGGAUUCUACCUCCCCUGGGGCAGCAUGUAAUCUGCUCUUUGAGCCCUGGGUCUAGGUGUUUUCCUUCCCCUCUAAAAGUGCUUCAAUCAUCUUUAAGGUCCUCAUCACUGACAUUUGGAUACCACCUCCAGUACUGAAAACAUCCAAGGAUUGCUCCCACACAAAAUGUGGACUGACAGGUCUUGCUGGCCUUUACCUCCAAUGGACAGAGCUCCUGAAAUAAAACAAAUGUGCUUUACCAUGGGAAGGAAAGCAUGUAGCCCCAGUGGUUUAGGUGCUGAUUACAGGCUGCCCUAGGGGGGUAAAGAUCAGCAACAGCUUUCUGAUCUGGCAGCUUUUGUAUGAGAGUCAUCUUUGGGCAUAUAUAAUACUGGAGGUGGUAUCCACGUUUGAAUGGUGGGCUUCUGGAUGAGAAUGAGAGUUCUUUUCUCUAGGAAGGAAAGCAUCUAGCGCCAGUGUUUGCGGUGCUGAUGAAAGGCUGCCCAGGGGAGGUAAAGACCACCCCAGACCUCUCUAUCAUGGCACCUUUUUGGUGGGAGCAAUCCUUGGACAUAAUGUUGGAAGUGUUAUCUAAUUUGGGUAAUGGGUAAAAUCCCUGGUCAUAUUCAAUUAAUUGCACUUACAACUGAAAAGCAUGCGUGAUGUAGAAUGCAUGUACUAAGUUACCAUAUUUAUUAGCUUAAAUAACAAAAGUAACUCUACUCUGUUGGUUAAACUUGUUAAUGUGUGAACCAAGUUUGCUUCCUGCUGGCAGUGAUUGCUCCUGCAAUAAGGAUAAGCUGUCCUUCGAUGGUUACCUUGAUCCUCAGUGGGGGUGUGCUGGAAUCAUUACUGAUAUCAUUCCUGGGUAGAAAAAACCGUAUGAAUCUCAGCAGCAUUAGCCUGAACAGGUUACCCCUUAGUAGCUCAAGUUGUUUAAUCACUCGGACUAAUGACAAAAUUUCUUUUUCCCACUCAGAAUCUCUCUCUUCCAUCUCUUUAAAUGCGGUUGAGUUGAAUAUUGAAUAUUUCUUUGGUUUUUCAUGGUGUUAGGCCUUGACAUUCUUCAGGACGAAUCUCAACUUCUACUUUACGAAGUACUUGCCCACUGUUGUUGCUGCUUCCUGUGUUUUCAGGGGGGUCUCCUGCAAUUUGAGUUGUCCUCCAUGGGUAGGGUGCUCUCCUAAUUUUAGCUAUCAGUUCCUCAAAGUUUAGUACACCAGUGAUUGUAGAUGUGGUACUGGUGUUCAACUGCCUGUAAUAAACCGUGAGCCACAACUGUCUGUUCAGCUCUUUCAUGAGCCAGACCCUAAGCCUGGCUCAGUUGGUCUGAGCGUGGUGCUCAUAACACCACUGUUGUUGGUUCAGUCUGUGUAUGGCCCAUUCACUUAACAGCUGGACUUGAUGAUCUUUGUGAGUCCCUUUCAACUUAGAAUAUUCUGUGAUCUGUGACACAAGGGCAAUGCCAACAGCAAACAUUGGCUAAACACUGGCAAGUUCCAUGAGACUGGAGUGUGUUAAAAUGAUCUCUGGCCACUAUCUCAGACAGGAGAGAUAGGAGUGUGACUGAGUGAUAGUACCUUUUUUCUUUUAAUCUGUCACCACCCCAUCAAGGCCCAAGCACAGGGGUGCUUAUGUUGUGGCUGUUAGGUUUGCAGUAUUGGUACCUUCAACUGUUAAGGGGGCCAAAUUGGCCAGAACUUCAGAAAUUCCACUUCUCCCUGCAGCAAAAAUCCAGCAUGGGGACACACUAGUAGUCCUUGGAUCAGGGAGUGCAGGUGCCAUGUGGAGUCGACACAGUCUCUGGACUCCUUUUAGGGUUUGGGCUAAUGUUCAAACAUUAACAUUGACUCACUGCCAUCAGGCAGACAACAGAUUUGAUCAUUCAGAACAUCAAAACCCAAAUACUGUUAUUGUGAUCUUUGAUUGCAAAGCAAGUAGCCAAUAUCCACUUCUCAUCCAGGACCCAUAAAUUAACCUUAGCAGCUUGGCAGCUAACAUGUGCUCCAUUUACUAAAGUGAUUUUAACUCUUCGUGUUUGGGUUAUACACCCAGCUUCUUGGCGUCCUGCUUCAUUAGUACUGAAUGCUGUGCUCCUGUAUCUGCUAGAAAUGUAAUUAAUCAUUGAGAAGAACCAACUGGAAUCUGGAUGUGUGGGUCAUUAGUAUGUAUUGAUAGGGUUUCAUUGUUGCAUUUCAGUCUCACUUGGCUUGUGCCUGGAAUGCUUUUGCAAAUCAGCCACCUGAAUGGACUCUUGCACAAUACAGGGUGAAUUGGUAGCUUGCGUAAGCAUCACCUUUGCUGUUGGUCUUGUUUCUUUCUUCUAUAAUUUUCCCUAUUCAAAUUCUCAAAUAAUUAUCUUUCCUUAUACUGGGCUGAAGCAAGCAGAGCCCUAAGAUGGUCUUUCUCAGUCAUAAGUUUAUCCACUUAGAUUCUCAGUUUUUCUCCUGUCUCCAUCUCAGAAGCCAGUGAUGACUUUGAUACCUCAUUUUCUGUGUAAGUCUUAUUUUUGGUGAGCCUCCUUAAAUAUUUGCAGCCGCCAGCCCCCAACUCACUGAGGAUGGUGAAAGUUGUUUCUAAGAUUCCAGUUAACAUUAGCCUGUGGUGCCAUAGUAAUUAUAGGUCUCUCAAGAGUUCCAACUCCCACAUCAACAGCUUUAUCCUGCUUGUGGCAAGGGAGUGCAACUUUCCUUUUCCCCAGGCACUCCAUUCCAGGCACUACAUUCUCCAGAACAGCAGUGGAUAAUUUAUCACUUCUCAAGAAAUUCCUUUCGGCAAGCCUUUCACUCACACUUCAUUCCAUCUCCUGCUCCCUGGUUGUCCCACUUACAAGGGGGGGGUCUCAGUCUUGUGGGGAGGGGGAUGUCCAGUCCAAUGAUGCAUCCCCCAGUCCCAUCGAGAGGGGAUUGUGUAUCCCAAUCCCAUAGGGAAGUUCUCAGUUCCAGGAAAGUAAAUGAGUUACAUGUGAGUGUCUCAAGGACAUUAAUGGGGGAGGGCGGAGUCCCAAUCCCAUACAGAGGGGCCCAAAUCCCUGGGUGAGGACUCAUUCCAUGAAGGGGUAUAGUGUCCCCUGUCUCAUUGGCCGGGUCCCAAAAAUUAAGUGGAGGAAAGAUGGUCUUGCCCCAUCCUGUUUGCCACACUUUUGGGGUCCCCCCUCUGUAUUCAGGGUCUUUCCCCUCCCUAUUUUUUC